GGAGAGAUGGCUGAGUGGACUAAAGCGGCGGAUUUCUAAUCCGUUGUACGAGUUAAUCGUACCGAGGGUUCAUUUUG
rfam:Nicotiana attenuata strain TT chromosome 2, whole genome shotgun sequence.